GAUGAACGCUAGCUACAGGCUUAACACAUGCAAGUCGAGGGGCAGCAUGACCUAGCAAUAGGUUGAUGGCGACCGGCGCACGGGUGAGUAACACGUAUCCAACCUACCGGUUAUUCCGGGAUAGCCUUUCGAAAGAAAGAUUAAUACCGGAUAGUAUAACGAGAAGGCAUCUUCUUGUUAUUAAAGAAUUUCGAUAACCGAUGGGGAUGCGUUCCAUUAGUUUGUUGGCGGGGUAACGGCCCACCAAGACAUCGAUGGAUAGGGGUUCUGAGAGGAAGGUCCCCCACAUUGGAACUGAGACACGGUCCAAACUCCUACGGGAGGCAGCAGUGAGGAAUAUUGGUCAAUGGACGAGAGUCUGAACCAGCCAAGUAGCGUGAAGGAUGACUGCCCUAUGGGUUGUAAACUUCUUUUAUAUGGGAAUAAAG
rnacentral:rRNA from 1 species